rnacentral:misc_RNA from 1 species
GUGAAUCAUCAAAUUUUUGAACGCAAAUUGCGCCUUUUUCUGAAGGCUUGUCUGUGUCAGGUCACCAUUUAACAAAUAAUGUGCAUGCUGUGUGUAUUUUUACUCACACGUGCACACGUUGAUGAGCUUUUCCAAACAAAGAAAAUUUUUUGGUGGCACGUAAUGAACAGCGUGAGCUUUCCUCCAGUCUUUCCGAGUGUAUUAAAAUUUUUAUUCGGCGCUUGC